rnacentral:misc_RNA from 1 species
GCCCAAUUCUACAAGCAAUUCCUUGUAUUAGAGAUCAUGAUAUAUCAACCAACAUAAACAAGAUCACGAAGAUGGGUUCCGGCGAGCAAAUUGCUUAUGAUUUUAUCCUUGCUCUUCUUUCAAUUUUUCUCAUCAUUCUUGGUUUGGUUCUUUAUUUCUUCUUCCGAAAGAAACCUGUUGAAUCUGAAGAAAGUCUUUCAGUCAAGGUUUCUGCUCCCACAUAUCCGUUGACAGAUAUAGACGCUGCCACUGAUGGCUUUAACCAUCGAAGAGUUAUCGGUAAAGGUCGUUUAGGUACAGUAUACGCAGCCGUACUGCCAAAAGAAGAGCUAGUUGCAGUUAAAAGAAUUCACCCAUCUCUUGUUUUGAGCAAUGCUGGUUUUGGGUUCUCUUCAAUACUCAAAACGCUAUCUUUAGCCCAACACCCAAAUAUAGUGCCUAUAAUGGGAUUUUCCCAGGCUCCUGGUGAGAGAAUUAUUGUUAUGGAAUUUGUUGGCAUGGCCAGUUUGGAUUUUUAUUUGCAUGAAAAUUCUGAUGGGGGUUCCCUAUUGGAUUGGAGCCGGCGACUGAGGGUUGCUGCCGGAGCAGCUAGAGGGCUUGAGUACUUGCAUGAAGGGAUGGCACCAAAUGUUAUACACGGGUAUUUCAAGGCCUCAAAUAUUCUUCUAGAUGUGAAGUUUUCUGCUAGGGUUAGUGAUUAUGGGCUAUCCUUUUUAGCACCUAAAGAAAAAAGAGGAGUUGCAGGGCAUGUGGAUGAAGAAUACUGGAGUGAGAUAGGGGGUGGCCCUUGCAAAGAAAGUGAUGUUUAUGGGUUUGGUGUGGUUUUGUUAGAGCUUUUGACUGGAAGGAGAAAUGAGGAAGGGUUACUUGUGAAGUGGGCAUUGCCUUUGAUUAAAGAACUCAAGUUUAGUGAGGUUUUAGACCCUAGACUUGCAUUACCUUAUGAUAUGAAGCCAAUUAUUAGAUUGGCCAAGGUUGCUUCAGCUUGUGUUAGCAAUUCUAGGAAGAGCAGGCCUACGAUUGUUCAAGUUGCAGCAAUUCUAAACAGUUUGGAGGCUGAGGUACGUGCAUGAUUAGAUCCAUUAUAAGAGAUCCAAGCAAUUUAAUUGCCAGCAAUUUUGAGCAAUCUAAUUAGGUGGGUCUAAAAUGGAUUGAAAUUGCUGGAGGAAGAUGAUAUGCCAAGAAAAUUGAGAUUUGGGGGAUUUCUUUUGACUUUAAUAUUCAAGUGGGACUGGCAAAAUUAAAAGGGGAAAAUGUUGAAUGGGACAGGAGGGGCCGGUGACUUGUCGUUUGGGCUGUGAAAUUUUAUCUUUGUUUGCGUGUAGAAUAGGGAUCUUUAUAGGGAGUGAAAUGAAAAUGACCCAUUUUCUUUUCUCCGUUUUUAAUCAAAUAUAUUCUCUGUAGUACUUUCUUGGGCUUUUCAUUAGUUCAUCAUUAUUGGACUAAUUAAUUGCCUUUUUGUAAAUCUUUUCGAGC